rnacentral:lncRNA from 1 species
AACAUCCAAUGAUGGAUUAGAUUCACAAUCUAAUACAUUUACGCUUCCAUUACGUUACUCUAAUUCUUCCUCAUUCUUUGAGGAAUCUAUCCUUUAGUAUUUCUUAAAUACUUAAGGAUUCACUUGACAGUUGCCAUGGUUCUGAUCCUGGGCUUACACUGAUAUCGUCUUGUACCGUUCUAGGUACAACUCAUAUCAAUGUUUUUCAUACAAUAUGAAAUACAUAAAUCACCUUUAUGCGUAUGCAUAAAGGAUUCUAUUUACGCAUUAUUUCUUUGGGAGUCAAAGAGUACGUUCUCUUUGAGAAGAGCAACUUCUUAGUCUCACUAGAGCUGUCCUUCUAAUUGAAGUUUAUCAUCAUAUGAGAAACCUCCUAGCAUCUCUUGUCUAUUAUUUAGGGCUUGAUAUAAUCCAAUUAUAUCCUAAAAUCUAUCAUUAUAGAUUUCCAUCCCAUGUUUAUAGACUAUGUCUCCCAUAUACAUUCUAUCGUUAUAGAAUGCUUAAAGUCAUAACUUUAACGAAGAAGUAUUCUUUUCAUUUCCAAAAUUAAUAUAUCAUAUAUAUAUUUAUAUUUUAGGAACAUGAUUAACUCCCAUAAACAUUCUAUCUUCAUAUAAUGUUUUAAAGUCAUAACUUUAACCAAGAAGUUUUUAUUUCAUUUCCAAAAUUAAUAUAUCAUAUAUAUAUACUUAAAUUUUAGGAACAUGAUUAACUCCCACUAAUCUUUUGUAAACCUAGUAAACAAAAGAUUCAUUUACAUCUUUAUGAGAAAUCAAACGAUUUGAUCUUUUUCUCAUAAGAUGCUCAUAGCUCCCACUAGCUUGCUUAGAUUCAUGAUGGAUGGAUCUCUACAACUUACAUGUCUUGUGAUUCAUAGUUUUAGACAUAUAUUAUCAAGACUAUCUUAAUAAUGGUUUCGGAAACUCAUAUUAUGUCCAAACAUUGAAUCACCAUUUAGUUGUAGCUAGCAAUCUUCGAAUUAAUUGAAACCAAGACUAUCUCAAAGAUGGUUUCUUCAAAGUCAACCAUUCUCUUUGAUUGUAGUCACCUUAAGCUACCAAUUAGCUAUUUAA